CUUUUUUCUUCGUUGGUUUGAGAGUCUCGUGAGUUUUCGCCGUUAGGGCAACUUUUUCUUGCCCCUCCGGAUAGGAAAGCUCGCCCUAAGCUUCCCCUAACCGGAUGUGGUCGUCCCUUCCAAUAUCAGGAGUCUUCUGAUUUGGGAGCAACUACUUUAUCUGUGUUGGUCGCAAUUUUCUUCGUUGAGAUGAGGUUCAGAUUCGCAUGGUGGUAUUGAGGGUGCAAAUUAAGAAGGAUUUAUCCUUUGGUCCCAGUGAGUUAAGAAGCUUGCGGUCUGGCACCUCAUGGCUAUAAAAGAUUAAAACCCUAUGACUUUGCUCCUUCUCCCUCUGUGCGUCCAGACUUUACCUGUUGCUGCCGCUGAAUAUGUUACUGGUGCUGCUAUGUUUGCUACCCGAUGGGCUUUGGUUGGCUUCUAUGGAAGCUUGCAAAGUCUGUUGGGUCAUUCUUGCUUUUGUCUUUAGUGAUCCUUUCUUCUCUCCCCAACAUUUGUGGUGACUUGUGCCUAUUUCUGUUACUCAGUGUUUGUGUGUGGUGUUGGCUGACAGUGAUUUGAGUUUGGGUAAUGGGCUUGAUGUUGGGUGGGCCUAAUUGUAUUUUCAUGGAUCUAGACUAUUGUAGCUAUUUGCCUUUU